CUGGCCUCAAGUGAUUGCUUCCUACACCGGCUGCCCCAAGGAUACAACAGGGAGUAAAUCUGUUUUAGACACUGCCGUUGUUUGACAUCAUAUUUUAUUUCCACCGUUGUCUGUGAUAUCAAAUGUGUGACGGCUGAGGACUCCAGUACUUGGAACUGAAGAAAAUACCCUCUUUGGAUUUCAUACAAGCAUCACACCCUAAAAUGCAAGACUGAAAUUUCUUCAGCAUUCAUAGAUACCCAAAUGUUAUAGAGGUGAGGAGCCACAUUCAUCAGGCUGGAACAAGGUGGGGUAGCAUGAAUCCUUUGGCACCAGCAACACCCACUGCUGCAGGGGGAAGUUCGAACCACAGUUUGUCCAUCACUGCUCUCCCCUGAAGAUUACACCAGAGGACGGCAACUUAAGCUUCUGCUGAGGACUCCAUCAGAGCUUGCUGGUAGAGUCUGCCAUACACGUACACUGAUUCUGCACAUUACCCUGGCCACGUUAGCCCAACCUCUUUUCCUAACACUGACACCUCUUUUUUGGACUGUGUUUGUCCCAGCAGAGUAGACUUGUGACUUCCUUGCACCUCUGCAAUCUUCUCUCCAUCAGAGUUACUGGUGUCAGAGAGCAUGCACUCUGGUUAAUGCCAAAAGAAGCCCAUCUA